GCCACCUGUAGUGCGUGCGGUGUCCACUGACGUCCUGUCAGUCGUGUAACGGCUAGGAGAACAACAGGUCUUGCUUGGCGAUCUCUAAUGAUUAUGUCAGAUCCAUCAGAUGAAUGAAAGCAGGAUCACUGCUGAAAUACUCAGUCACAGAUUGAUGCUGUAGCUACUGCAGUGCUGCCGAUGUGUGGAAGGAGUCCAUGGCCUUGAAUUCGCUGAGGGCCUGGACGGGCGAGAUGUGUUUCUUCUGGGAGCCUCGUCGCACACGUGUCUGGCACUCCUCUGGCUUCUCCCUUUUUACCAAAGGCUUCUUCUCAGGGGCCUUCAUGCGCCAAGACACCACGGAGGGGGUAAUGGACAUACCCUUAUCAUGAGGACAGCUUUCCUGAUGUCACGGACGCCAUCGUAGACCAAACGGGAUGCAUCAAUGAACUCAUUCUCUUCAAAGGCCUGUGGGGGGUUUGUGCUCAGUGCCUCGAUAGCUACUUCCACUUGUUCAGCAAAACGGGGCAUGACUGCAGGGAGAAACGGGUAAGGGAGGUAGAGGGAGAGAGAACAAAAGAAAGCUAUGAGAGUCAGGUGUAUCACAUUUGUUAGUAAUCUUUCAGAAGGGGUGCAAGCUGAUCAAUUAGAAACGGAAUGGUGAAAGCACAAUUUAUUAACCUUUUCGUAUCAAAUUUUACAGCAGCAGGGUCUCCCUAUGCGUCAGUCUCUGCUCACUUGUGCAGUUCAGGAAAACAAGACAUAUCACCCCAAACCUCUGUGUAAGCGACGGUAUGCUGUUGGCAGAUUGCACGCCAAUUAGCUAUUUCACCUUGGCUUACCCAACAGGAAGAUUGGCCUGUCUGUCACAGGCUGUCUGUUUGUGUACACGCUGGCGUUUGGCAUGUGGCGUUUGCAUGUGUGUAUGAAGUCCAUGGAUGCAUGUGUGGAUUUGUGUGAUCUGCAAGGAGAUGGCUGUGUGCGCUCCAGUUUCUUUUUUACAGUACAAGGACGCUAACUUGCAAACUCAGCCUGUCAAAUCACAAUGACGAUGAAGGGAAACAAAUUCAUCAAAGUCUUUUGAGCAGAACAAAAGCCAAGCAAAAAAAAAGAAAAGUCCCCACUGACCAUAAAAAUGGCUGGUUUUGUUGUCAGUAUCAAUUGGCCAGAUUUGAUGGAAGAGCUUUAUGCUCUUUGUGUGUUCAAAUGAAUUGUGCUGAAUGUGAAUAGACAUUAUUCAAUAUUCAAGAAUACAUACUGAAUGUUUGAAUAUUUAGCAGGCUACCUUUCUACGUAAUCUCCUGUUCAGUCACAAUAAUUGAAUGCAGAGUUUAAUAAUGUGCUGUUUUUUUGUAUGGACUCUGUGCUGUAGCAAAUUAUCAUAACAAAAGCUGCGGUUUACCUGGACCGACAGUUGCCAGCCAAAAAAGGUCAGUCUCCAUAUACUGUGUUAUCUAUGGAGGAGUUUUAAAACACCACAAAUGCCUAUAACCCCACCAUUACUCAUGAGUGACCGUACUAUUGUACUAUAAGAGAGAGAGAAAUAAAAAGACAAAGACUUCACUUUUUGGUAUGUUAGAAAGAGUCUCUGCAACAAAGAUAUAGACAUAAACAGUGGAUUUUUGGAGAGGAGACUGAUUUAAGACAACACCCUUUUGAGAGGAGAAGACAGGUCUAUCAGACUCACUGACUAUGAGGACAGACAGAUGUAACAAGAAAAACAGAGGAAAAGAUAAUUAAAGUAUAGCAGCUUGGUGAACCUCCACCAGAAAGCCA